rnacentral:rRNA from 1 species
AACGAACGCUGGCGGCAGGCUUAACACAUGCAAGUCGAACGGGUGUAGCAAUACAUCAGUGGCAGACGGGUGAGUAACACGUGGGAACCUUCCUCGUUGUACGGAACAACUCAGGGAAACUUGAGCUAAUACCGUAUACGUCCGAGAGGAGAAAGAUUUAUCGCAAUGAGACGGGCCCGCGUCGGAUUAGCUAGUUGGUGGGGUAACGGCCUACCAAGGCGACGAUCCGUAGCUGAUCUGAGAGGAUGAUCAGCCACACUGGGACUGAGACACGGCCCAGACUCCUACGGGAGGCAGCAGUGGGGAAUCUUGGACAAUGGGCGCAAGCCUGAUCCAGCCAUGCCGCGUGAGUGAAGAAGGCCUUAGGGUUGUAAAGCUCUUUUGCCAGGGACGAUAAUGACGGUACCUGGAGAAUAAGCCCCGGCAAACUUCGUGC